UGGUAAAGUGAUUUGUCUGUGUUAAUUCCGAUAACGAACGAGACCUUGACUUACAUGUUUAAAUCUGCAUGAUACUAAUUUCCUACUUAUGUGAUCCCUAGCAUGCGCGCUCCUUGUUUUUUAUAGGACGCCUUGCUCUGUUGUUCAUUGGAAACUCAUGUAUGUGCAUUUCGUAUCUACUUAAGCCUAGGAUGUAUGUCCUUACUUAAUUACGGAUUGUAUUUAA
rnacentral:rRNA from 1 species